GGAGGAAAAGAAACCAACAGGGAUUGCCCCAGUAACGGCGAGUGAAGCGGCAACAGCUCAAAUUUGAAAUCUGGCCCCCAGGGCCCGAGUUGUAAUUUGCAGAGGAUGCUUUUGGCGCGGUGCCUUCCGAGUUCCCUGGAACGGGACGCCAUAGAGGGUGAGAGCCCCGUCUGGUCGGACGCCUAGCCUGUGUAAAGCUCCUUCGACGAGUCGAGUAGUUUGGGAAUGCUGCUCUAAAUGGGAGGUAUAUGUCUUCUAAAGCUAAAUACCGGCCAGAGACCGAUAGCGCACAAGUAGAGUGAUCGAAAGAUGAAAAGCACUUUGAAAAGAGGGUUAAAUAGUACGUGAAAUUGUUGAAAGGGAAGCGCUUGUGACCAGACUUGGGCCCGGUGGAUCAUCCAGCGUUCUCGCUGGUGCACUCCGCCGGGUUCAGGCCAGCAUCAGUUCGCCGCGGGGGAAAAAGGCUUCGGGAACGUGGCUCCUACGGGAGUGUUAUAGCCCGUUGCAUAAUACCCUGGGGCGGACUGAGGUUCGCGCUCCGCAAGGAUGCUGGCGUAAUGGUCAUCAGCGACCCGUCUU
rnacentral:rRNA from 1 species